rnacentral:rRNA from 1 species
UACGUAGGGACCGAGCGUUGUCCGGAAUCAUUGGGCGUAAAGAGCGUGUAGGCGGCCUUUUAAGUCCUGCGUGAAAUCCUGCGGCUCAACCGCAGACGGUCGUGGGAAACUGGAAGGCUAGAGUGCGGGAGAGGAGAGUGGAAUUCCCGGUGUAGCGGUGAAAUGCGCAGAUAUCGGGAAGAACACCCGUGGCGAAGGCGGCUUACUACACAGUUAUUGACGCUGAGGCACGAAAGCGUGGGGAUCAAACAGG